GUAGGUGGCAAGCGUUGUCCGGAAUUAUUGGGCGUAAAGCGCGCGCAGGUGGUUCUUUAAGUCUGAUGCGAAAGCCCCCGGGCUCAACCGGGGAGGGUCAUUGGAAACUGGGGAACUUGAGUGCAGGAGAGGAAAGUGGAAUUCCACGUGUAGCGGUGAAAUGCGUAGAUAUGUGGAGGAACACCAGUGGCGAAGGCGACUUUCUGGCCUGUAACUGACACUGAGGCGCGAAAGCGUGGGGAGCAAACAGGAUUAGAUACCCUGGUAGUCCACGCCGUAAACGAUGAGUGCUAAGUGUUGGGGGGUUUCCGCCCCUCAGUGCUGCAGCUAACGCAUUAAGCACUCCGCCUGGGGAGUACGGCCGCAAAGACUG
rnacentral:rRNA from 1 species